rnacentral:rRNA from 1 species
UACGUAGGGGGCUAGCGUUGUCCGGAAUUACUGGGCGUAAAGCGUGCGCAGGCGGUUUUGUAAGCCAGAUGUGAAAGCCCCGGGCUUAACCUGGGAAUGGCAUUUGGGACUGCAAGGCUUGAGUGCGGCAGAGGAGACUGGAAUUCCUGGUGUAGCAGUGAAAUGCGUAGAUAUCAGGAGGAAUACCGAUGGCGAAGGCAGGUCUCUGGGCUGACACUGACGCUCAUGCACGAAAGCGUGGGGAGCAAACAGG